ensembl:lncRNA
UGUCUUUUUCUUCUAUUCUUGAGACGAGAUGGCCAAAAGGAAGGGAAGGUUCAACAGCAGUGGUAAGAUAGAUGCUCCUGUGCUAGAAUUAAGCUAAUACAGCUGUUGAAUGAAAAAUACAACUGUGUGAUUUUCAAACAGCAAAUUAAGUGACAGGUUCAGUUUGGCAUUCAUACUUUAUUUUUAAUAAGCUCAUUGAUGCCCUCCCCUUUUGAUCGACUUGAUCCUUAUGUUUUGAGAAGGUGGAGCUCCACCCCAGCCUCGGUCACUCAGGUCAAGGAAGAGGGAAUGUCCAUGUGACGACAUCACCCUGACUGUGGAUGUUGAAGCGGCUCUCCAUCAACAGGACACUGAAGGAAAUAACACGGCAGUACUCAUUGCACCACCACAGUAUCUCCAGUCCCCUGUGCAGGAAUGUGCAAUUGUUACAAAUCAACUGGAUCAGCUGGCAGAGCAGUCCUAUCUUCCCAAACAAGGUGACUCCACUGAAGAACAACAUGCAGAAAAAACUGUGAAAUCUUGUGAAGGGCAAGAAGAGCAUCCUGCCACCACCAUCAACAAUGAUUCUCAGCUGCAGAGCUUUAUAAUACAUCCUAAAAAUGAUACCAACAAGGGUGGAAAGAAGGAAAUAGAUCUGCAAGACAUUACCAGAUCAUCAUCUGAUCAACAUGGGGUGUUAAGCUCUGAAGAGGUUGACGCGGCCUGUGCAGCUGGUUUAGAGGAACAACGGGAUGCAAAGAAAAACUCCCAGUGUAAUUUGGGGAAAAAUCAUGAAACCAACCAAGAAGAACAAAGCAACAUGUGUAUGGCUGAUGUUGAGGAAGUCACAAAGGAGUCAACAGUGGGAUUACCAGCCAGAAAGAAGCGAAGAAUGGGUAUGUGUGGUCUGACGGAGAAGGAGAGGAGUCAUUUUUUACAGACACAAAAGCGAGAAAAUGGGCAGAAUGGAGCAGAGAGGAUCGAGAAGCAGCCAUGUCAUAACACAGCUGACGUUGAGGCUAAAAAAGGGAUUAUAUCCACAGCCCUCUCGUUUUCCUCAGCUCUGUCCCACCCAGUAGACAGUGUCACAUUUCAGGACAAGACAGAGAUAAAAUUACAGUCCAGUCACUGCGGAAGAGAAAACAGGGCAGAAACCGAAGUCUGCACCACUCCCACAACAUCAGAUAGGACCAGUGCUUCGUGUUGCACAGAGGGAAAGAGCAGUGAGGCCGAAGGAGCCGCAGCACCUGAUCCAGAACAGACUGAUGAGCCAAAGUCAAAUCAACCUACAGAGGAGAAAGAAGAGGGGUAUUUGGAGAAUGAAAAGCAACCGAAACCCGAGGAAAGUACAGGUGAAACACCUGUGAAACAAAGAAAAGAUGGUGAUGCUGGAGUAGACUGUAGUCCCGUAUUCACUUUUGACACUAGUCUAUCUCAUGAUGAAGAGAUUGAGAAAAAGAAAGAUGGGAGUGAGGCACCACCUCUGCAGGUGCAGAGCGUGACCAGGACAAGAGAUGAGAUGACGGGUGACACCCAAGCUGAAGCUGAUUCUGCCUCCACAGACACCAGGCCAGGAGGAUUCAACUGUGGCUGUGUGGAGCCCUGUGAGGCUACAGUGACACCUAGUAACUCAGAGAGGAAAGACAGCCCUACUCCAGAUGUUGAACCUGCUGCUGGUUCCACCACUGUAAACAGCGAGCAGACUCACACUAGAGACAUCACUGCGUACUUGGAUUAUGUAUCAGACUCGCAGUUGAACUCCAUUCCUCUGAUUGAGGAGGCGACGAUGGCGAGAGAGGAAGAUCCUGGUUUCUCAUACUGUCGUGAAGAUGCCACAAACCUGAUCUGUGGGCUCAUCACAGAACUCUCCUCGCUCAAUCGAAAGGUUAUGGCCACACACAGGGAGCUGGAGAACCUGCGUCGGGGUAAUAAAACGUCAAGAAGCUCCAUACGUUGAAGAUUUGGAUCCCAAACCUGAGUUUAUGGUGUGCCACCAAUUUGAAUAUUUCUCUUUGACUCCAAUUUCACUUUUCUUGCACCAGUGACAGCUGGAGAGUUCGGUGUGACCACUCGGAUGUUCUAGGUCCUCCUCAAUAAAGCUUGUUGUUACUGUUUAAGUCAGUUGUGUUAUUAGCUUCAUUAGAUGCAAACCUGCCCUUCCU